CCUACGGGUGGCAGCAGUGAGGAAUAUUGGUCAAUGGGCGCGAGCCUGAACCAGCCAAGUCGCGUGAGGGAAGACGGCCCUACGGGUUGUAAACCUCUUUUGUCGGGGAGCAAUGGACGCCACGAGUGGCGUUCCGGAGAGUACCUGAAGAAAAAGCAUCGGCUAACUCCGUGCCAGCAGCCGCGGUAAUACGGAGGAUGCGAGCGUUAUCCGGUUUUAUUGGGUUUAAAGGGUGCGUAGGCGGAAUAUCAAGUCAGCGGUAAAAAUUCGGGGCUCAACCCCGUCGGGCCGUUGAAACUGGUUGUCGUGAGUGGGCGAGAAGUAUGCGGAAUGCGUGGUGUAGCGGUGAAAUGCAUAGAUAUGACGCAGAACCCCGAUUGCGAAGGCAGCAUACCGGCGCCCAACUGACGCUGAAGCACGAAAGCGCGGGUAUCGAACAGGAUUAGAUACCCCAGUAGUC
rnacentral:rRNA from 1 species